UAGAACAGUAGGAACAGCGGCGGCAUGGGAAAUGUAUGGCUGUAAUGUGAGGUUUGGUAUGAAAGCCUGCUAGUGGGAGUGAAUGCGAGUGUGAGUGGGAGUUGUGCGGCUGUGAGUGUGGGAGUUGUGCGCUGCUGCUCCUGCUUUUCUAUACACACUGAUCUUAUUUGAUCUCCCCGCGGAUGGCGGCCUCUCCCCGAGGAGAAAUGAUAGGAAACCGCUCGCUAAGCCCUUCCCGGGCCCUGUGCGCUGAGCUCGGCUUCGGAGACCGCAAAUCACUGAAAGGAUGAAUUGAUCAGAUAUACUAGGCCGGGCUGCGGGGCUCCCCCAUAAUCCCGGCCUGUGAGUAUAGAGGCGAUUCUGAUCUGA
rnacentral:snoRNA from 1 species